UUGGCUCAUUACAACAGCCGUUGUUUCUUGGAUCUUACUUUUACUUGGAUAACUGUGGUAAUUCUAGAGCUAAUACAUGCAACGAAGCUUCGACCUAUGGGAAGGAGCGCAUUUAUUAGACCAAGACCAAUCAGUCGUUUCGGCGGCUGAAAUCUGGUGACUCUGAAUAACUUUGCUGAUCACACGGUCCUAGUACCGGUGACAUAUCUUUCAAGUGUCUGCCCUAUCAACUUUCGAUGGUAGUUUAUGUGCCUACCAUGGUUGUAACGGGUAACGGAA
rnacentral:rRNA from 4 species